AACGCGAAGAACCUUACCUAAGCUUGACAUCCCUCUGAAAGCCCCUUAAUCGGGGCCCCUCUUCGGAGCAGAGGUGACAGGUGGUGCAUGGUUGUCGUCAGCUCGUGUCGUGAGAUGUUGGGUUAAGUCCCGCAACGAGCGCAACCCUUGUCUUUAGUAGCCAGCAGCUUGGCUGGGCACUCUAGAGAGACUGCCGAGGAUAACUCGGAGGAAGGUGGGGAUGACGUCAAAUCAUCAUGCCCCUUAUGCUUAGGGCUACACACGUGCUACAAUGGCUGUUACAAAGGGUUGCCAAGCCGCGAGGCGGAGCUAAUCCCAUAAAGACAGUCUAAGUUCGGAUUGCAGGCUGAAACUCGCCUGCAUGAAGCUGGAGUUACUAGUAAUCGCAGAUCAGAAUGCUGCGGUGAAUGCGUUCCCGGGUCUUGUACACACCG
rnacentral:rRNA from 1 species